rnacentral:rRNA from 1 species
CGGACGGGUGAGUAAUGUCUGGGAAACUGCCCGAUGGAGGGGGAUAACUACUGGAAACGGUAGCUAAUACCGCAUAACGUCGCACGACCAAAGUGGGGGACCUUCGGGCCUCACACCAUCGGAUGUGCCCAGAUGGGAUUAGCUAGUAGGUGGGGUAACGGCUCACCUAGGCGACGAUCCCUAGCUGGUCUGAGAGGAUGACCAGCCACACUGGAACUGAGACACGGUCCAGACUCCUACGGGAGGCAGCAGUGGGGAAUAUUGCACAAUGGGCGCAAGCCUGAUGCAGCCAUGCCGCGUGUAUGAAGAAGGCCUUCGGGUUGUAAAGUACUUUCAGCGGGGAGGAAGGCGAUGUGGUUAAUAACCGCGUCGAUUGACGUUACCCGCAGAAGAAGCACCGGCUAACUCCGUGCCAGCAGCCGCGGUAAUACGGAGGGUGCAAGCGUUAAUCGGAAUUACUGGGCGUAAAGCGCACGCAGGCGGUCUGUCAAGUCGGAUGUGAAAUCCCCGGGCUUAACCUGGGAACUGCAUUCGAAACUGGCAGGCUAGAGUCUUGUAGAGGGGGGUAGAAUUCCAGGUGUAGCGGUGAAAUGCGUAGAGAUCUGGAGGAAUACCGGUGGCGAAGGCGGCCCCCUGGACAAAGACUGACGCUCAGGUGCGAAAGCGUGGGGAGCAGACAGGAUUAGAUACCCUGGUAGUCCACGCCGUAAACGAUGUCGACUUGGAGGCUGUUCCCCUGAGGAGUGGCUUCCGGAGCUAACGCGUUAAGUCGACCGCCUGGGGAGUACGGCCGCAAGGUUAAAACUCAAAUGAAUUGACGGGGGCCCGCACAAGCGGUGGAGCAUGUGGUUUAAUUCGAUGCAACGCGAAGAACCUUACCUACUCUUGACAUCCACAGAAUUCGGCAGAGAUGCCUUGGUGCCUUCGGGAACCGUGAGACAGGUGCUGCAUGGCUGUCGUCAGCUCGUGUUGUGAAAUGUU